GUGCAUUUAUUUUUAAUUACCAGUUCGUUGAGGAGAUGGAAAUGUUGCAGUUUUUGAAUGCAACUGUUUACUAUCUAAUAGCGUUUUUUUUUCAAUAGUCGAUGUCGUCAUUGGUGCUAAUUUAUUUUGUGCUUUUUUUUCUCUUCGUUCGUAUUUAUAACUGUAGUUUUAGAUUAGAAGAUAGACGUCAGAAUCUAUGCUAUUUGUUGUUUUUUUUAAUAGGAUUUCAGGUUCGGUUUUCAGUGUUCGUCCCAUUGUGGUGUUGUGAGUUGUGGUGCUACGCUGAACUUUGUUAACCUCAUCGUUGGUGAUCAUCCUUCUUGGUCGGAAGAUCAUUGUGUCACUCUGAAAGUUGUUAUAGAAGUUUGAACUGAAUAUGUUACAGACUUAUCUUGAGUUUAGAAAUUGAAAUAUCGUUGACAUCUAUGUUAUACAAUAACAAAUACUAUAAGGUACUAUUUUAGUAUUUAAUUGAACGUAACUUAUGACUUAUUAACUUCAUAUUAUGUCAUAUGUAUUUGUAUGUAAUUUUCAUUCACUUUAGUUAUUGUAUCAUGCCAUUGUAGAAAAAUCAUUGAUUUAAAUUUAUAGUUUAAUGGUGAAUCAUUGUACACAUCUUUUAUUAAUUUGUUUACAUCUAAGUUUGUAUGGUGUGUAUUUUAGAUCGAACCUUGGGACUUGUAUAGAUUUUUAAAAAUAAAAAUUAUAAUUAAUUUUAACACACACGCAAAUUGCAAUAUUACAUUUUAAUACCUAGACAAACUAAUACCUAAUAUAUUUACAUACUGACAUGCAUAUAAAUCAACAUGGAUUAGUUUACAAAAACAUCAAAAUAUACAAAAAUAUGAGUAUGAAAUAAAUACAGCAAUGACUACAACUUUUUAAUAUAUUUUUAAAGAUAUACAUGUAAUAAAGGUAUUAAAAUAUUGAAUGACAAUUAUUUAUUUAGAAAAAAAAACAUCUCUAAGUGUAAUGCGAACUAAUAAAGUACGAAAGGCAUUGUAUUCAUAGAUCAACUUAGUAUUUAAGACAUAAAGACCUACAAACCAUUUAGCACAAUACUAUUUUAUAAUUUCUUCUUUAAUCUCAAAACUCCAAUAAGCUGAUUUGAUGAACUCUUCUAAACAAUGUAUUUAUAACACUUUAACUGUCAUCAAUAUUAUUAUCUUUGGAUGCCCUCCCCACGGUGAUAUGGUUGGAUGAAUUAGAAACAAAUCAUGAAGUUUUUUUUUUUAAAUUCAUAAAUUAUUUAUGUAAAGUAUUUGUAUAACACGAUUAGGAAUUAGUUAUUUGUUUUGGGAAUAGUGUAAAGUUUUGCUUAGCGACGAUGACGUAAAGUUUGUUAAAAAAUAAGAACGCUUUAGCAUUUGAUGAAGAAAAGACGCUUUUCCUAUUAAAGAUAAGGAUGUUAUAGACGGAUAUAAGUAAAGGACAUUCGACGGUUCCUUUUAUUGGUAUUAAACAAACUUUGUUUUUUUAACCCCAGAGUCGGAUACUUUUAACGAUUGUUGGCCAUUUCGCCGGUGUUAUCUGUUCCAGUACUGAGUUAAGUGUUACCUCCAGUUGUUACUUGACACCACGGAAGCGCUUAACAACUGGCGACCGCGCCUGAUCUUACUAGCAUCAUCAUCUAGAAGUUUUAGAAGCCCUCUGUUAGGAGAAGGCAGAAAUUUUAACUCAUCGGCAUAGUCAGCAGCUAGACCCUGAUCUUGUAGCCACGUCGGCGAAGUAAAGCCAGUGAGCUUUGGACUCGUAUAUCUAGGAGGUAACGAGAUAGACUUUUUAUAAAGGCCCAUACUUUGGGGCCUCGUAUAUCUAGGAGGUAACGAGAUAGACUUUUUAUAAAGGCCCAUACUUUGGGGCCUCGUAUUGGAACAAUCUUGUUUCGAGGAAAUUACAGUUUUGUCUUGAAAGGGAACAAAACCGUCCUGUCGAAGCCGUCCAGAAGAGGUAUCGCCUGCCUGGCAUCUUGAGAACGAACGUUGAAGGUAACCUCUGUAAAGUCAAGAUCGACCGUUGAGGUCAAGAAAUUUUGACGUAGGAGCCAUCCUACUACCUACGGCACUUAAGUUAAGUACAGUAGUGCUAUACUGCUUUAAGGCUCGGCUGAAUCUGUGCUACACGCUAGAUAGCCAGAUAACCGUUAUGACUUUUUCGCUGUAUCUGCUGUUGGUCCGUUCUAGUUUCAUUUUGCACAGACGAGUGCCUGGAACCACUGCACCUGCGUCGAAACCAGCAACCGGAACAUGACGCUACACCAUUAAAGAACCUGAGCCAAACGCCAGAUUACAGAGAACUAGAACCAGAUGACGCAUUAGCAAAGAACCGGAGCCGUUGCAGAUCAGUACCGAAGACGCUUGGGGAGCCGAAACGUUCGUUGCUUUACCAGAGCGUUAGUGAGUUCAUCGCCGUGAUCCUUGCCGUAGGGACAGGCUUUAACGUUGGAAUAGUGGACCCGAAACUUAUUGGGGAAGGUAAUCGCCGUUUCCAAUACAUACAAAUGUUAUUUAAGUUCUCUCUCCGUAGAUUAAUUAGAGUCUAUAGGAAAGUGACAACUUGCUAGAUUAUUACUCAGUUUAAAUCGUGUUGUAUUUAGGAUAUCCUUAAAAAUAGGUGUAAUCUAGCAACGGGUCCGUAUAUACGUUUAGCUGUUAAUCUGACCUGUAUAUGACAUAUUUGUCUAAGCAUUGUUUUUAGUAACGUCGCAUAUUAAUUGUUUGCAAUACUCCCGUCUUAAGUCUCACUGUCAGACGAAUAUCUCAUUCAUUAGAACUAGAGCUAUAUUUUGGUGUUUAUCUUAUCUAAGUUUAUUUAUUUUCAUAAUUUUGUUAUAUACAUUUCUGGCUGUGAAAACAGUAGGUAUAGAUCUAGCUUUAUAUAGACUAGAUCUGAGGUAGGCCCUACAUUUGAGGUGAAGCCUGAUUGCACAUUCGUAAUUUUGUUGUUUGUAAAUAGGUUGCCAGUGGCUCGUGUUUAGUAACACGUAGUCCUUUAAGUGUGCGUGUGUAGCACAGCGUAAUUCAGUCGGUUCAGAGUGUA
rnacentral:sRNA from 1 species